UCUAUUUAAAUCCCUCUUCAAGUUAUUCUUUAUUUAGUAGAUUGUAACGUCUCUGAUUGGAGAAGCCCAGGUCUAUAAAGCAUUUCAUGACUAUUAAUGCUCUAAUCAUAUGAUUUUGUGGCACAGAAGUAGAUAUUGGGUCUAAUUAGGCAAAUUAACAGUGCAUAAAUUGUAAACUAGGUCAUUGGUGGGCUGUUUAGGUCUGGGAAGAGAUAAUGCUCAUUUAAUUCACUCGAAGAGCCAUUUAUCAAAUGCCUACUUUUGUGUCAGAAACUGGGAUCUGUAGAAAGAAGAGUAUU